AACGUACGCUGGCGGCACGCCUAACACAUGUAAGUCGAACGGAGUAGCAAUACUCAGUGGCAGACGGGUGAGUAACAUGUAGGUAUCUGCCCUUUGGCCUGGAAUAACACGAGGAAACUUGUGCUAAUACCGGAUAAGUCUUUACGGAGAAAGCUUUAUGCACCAUUGGAUGAGCCUGCACUUGAUUAGUUUGUUGGUGGGGUAAUGGCCUACCAAGACUGUGAUCAAUAGCUGAUUUGAGAGGAUGAUCAGCCACAUUGGGACUGAGACACGGCCCAAACUCCUACGGGAGGCAGCAGUGGGGAAUCUUGCACAAUGGAGGAAACUCUGAUGCAGCGAUGCCGCGUGAGUGAAGAAGGCCUUUGGGUUGUAAAGCUCUUUCGUCGGGGAAGAAAAUGACUGUACCCGAAUAAGAAGGUCCGGCUAACUUCGUGCCAGCAGCCGCGGUAAUACGAAGGGACCUAGCGUAGUUCGGAAUUACUGGGCUUAAAGAGUUCGUAGGUGGUUGAAAAAGUUGGUGGUGAAAUCCCAGAGCUUAACUCUGGAACUGCCAUCAAAACUUUUCAGCUAGAGUAUGAUAGAGGAAAGCAGAAUUUCUAGUGUAGAGGUGAAAUUCGUAGAUAUUAGAAAGAAUACCAAUUGCGAAGGCAGCUUUCUGGAUCAUUACUGACACUGAGGAACGAAAGCAUGGGUAGCGAAGUGGAUUAGAUACCCACGUAGUCCAUGCCGUAAACGAUGUGUGUUAGACGUUGGAAAUUUAUUUUCAGUGUCGCAGCGAAAGCGAUAAACACACCGCCUGGGGAGUACGACCGCAAGGUUAAAACUCAAAUGAAUUGACGGGGACCCGCACAAGUAGUGGAGCAUGUGGUUUAAUUCGAAGAUACGCGCAGAACCUUACCAACACUUGACAUGUUCGUCGCGACUCUAAGAGAUUAGAGUUUUCGGUUCGGCCGGACGAAACACAGGUGCUGCAUGGCUGUCGUCAGCUCGUGUCGUGAGAUGUUGGGUUAAGUCCCGCAACGAGCGCAACCCUCACUUUUAGUUGCCAUCAUUAAGUUGGGCACUCUGAAAGAACUGCCAGUGAUAAGCUGGAGGAAGGUGGGGAUGACGUCAAGUCCUCAUGGCCCUUACGUGUUGGGCUACACACGUGCUACAAUGGUAUCUACAACAGGAAGCAAGACUGCGAAGUUAAGCAAAUCCUUAAAAGAUACCUCAGUUCGGAUUGCACUCUGCAACUCGAGUGCAUGAAGCUGGAAUUACUAGUAAUCGUGGAUCAGCGUGCCGCGGUGAAUGCGUUCCCGGGUCU
rnacentral:rRNA from 1 species